UAGUUAGGGGAAUAAUGUACUACCGGAGGGCUCUAAAGCUCCAGGCAUUUCUUGAUAUGGCCACUGAAAAAGGUAAGACUG